CGCCGUCUCUCACCGCAAGUCCGUUCGCUACCGUGUAUUCUCCCUCCGAACUGGACCGGUCGCCAUCCGAGGCGGCGGUAACUAGUGGGCUGGACACGUCCAUACUAACAAGGCGUAUGCUGCAUUAAUGUCAGCAUGUGGCUGUUUCCCACAAUGCCCUGCUUUCUUAAAUAACCCUUGAUGGCAGAAGAGGGAUGGGGUACGACUGGUGAGGGACAGAAGGAAACAGGAUUCUGAAGAAAAAAGACACAUAGAGGCACAUAAUAAAUUAUGAAGUCCUGCAAGAACAGCAGCAAAAACUAA